GACGAACGCUGGCGGCGCGCCUAACACAUGCAAGUCGAACGGAGUUGUGUUGAAAGCUUGCUGGAUAUACAACUUAGUGGCGGACGGGUGAGUAACACGUGAGUAACCUGCCUCUCAGAGUGGAAUAACGUUUGGAAACGAACGCUAAUACCGCAUAACGUGAGAAGACGGGCAUCCUCUUUUUACCAAAGAUUUAUCGCUGAGAGAUGGGCUCGCGGCCGAUUAGGUAGUUGGUGGGGUAACGGCCCACCAAGGCAACGAUCGGUAGCCGGACUGAGAGGUUGAACGGCCACAUUGGGACUGAGACACGGCCCAG
rnacentral:rRNA from 1 species